rnacentral:rRNA from 1 species
GUUUGAUCCUGGCUCAGGACGAACGCUGGCGGCGUGCCUAACACAUGCAAGUCGAGCGGGGACUAAUGAAGAGUAAUCUGAACUAGUUCUAGCGGCGGACGGGUGAGUAACGCGUGAGCAACCUGUCCUUGUCUGGGGGAUAAGGAGCCGAAAGGCUCUCUAAUACCGCAUGAGACCACAGCGCCACAUGGUGCAGGGGUCAAAGGAAUUUAUUCCGGACAAGGGUGGGCUCGCGUCUGAUUAGCUAGUUGGUGAGGUAACGGCCUACCAAGGCAACGAUCAGUAGCCGACCUGAGAGGGUGAUCGGCCACAUUGGAACUGAGACACGGUCCAAACUCCUACGGGAGGCAGCAGUGGGAAUAUUGGGCAAUGGGCGAAAGCCUGACCCAGCAACGCCGCGUGAAGGAAGAAGGUUUUCGGAUCGUAAACUUCUAUCCUAGGUGAAGAUAAUGACGGUAGCCUAGAAGGAAGCCCCGGCUAACUACGUGCCAGCAGCCGCGGUAAUACGUAGGGGGCAAGCGUUGUCCGGAAUGAUUGGGCGUAAAGGGCGCGUAGGCGGCCAUAUAAGUCCGACGUGAAAGUCCUGCUUUUAAGGUGGGAAUUGCGUUGGAAACUGUGUGGCUUGAGUGCAGGAGAGGUAAGUGGAAUUCCCGGCGUAGCGGUGAAAUGCGUAGAGAUCGGGAGGAACACCAGUGGCGAAGGCGACUUACUGGACUGUAACUGACGCUGAGGCGCGAAAGUGUGGGGAGCAAACAGGAUUAGAUACCCUGGUAGUCCACACUGUAAACGAUGAAUGCUAGGUGUAGGGGUAUCGACCCCUUCUGUGCCGGAGUUAACACAAUAAGCAUUCCGCCUGGGGAGUACGGCCGCAAGGUUGAAACUCAAAGGAAUUGACGGGGGCCCGCACAAGCAGCGGAGCAUGUUGUUUAAUUCGAAGCAACGCGAAGAACCUUACCAGGUCUUGACAUCCAGUAAAACCCGUAGAGAUACGGUGUGAGCUUGCUCAUACUGAGACAGGUGGUGCAUGGUUGUCGUCAGCUCGUGUCGUGAGAUGUUGGGUUAAGUCCCGCAACGAGCGCAACCCUUGUGAUUAGUUACUAACGCGUAAAGGCGAGGACUCUAAUAGGACUGCCGGGGACAACUCGGAGGAAGGUGGGGACGACGUCAAAUCAUCAUGCCCCUUAUGACCUGGGCUACAAACGUGCUACAAUGGCCACUACAGAGAGCUGCGAGCUCGCAAGGGUAAGCGAAUCUCAUAAAAGUGGUCCCAGUUCGGAUUGUGGGCUGCAACCCGCCCACAUGAAGCCGGAGUUGCUAGUAAUCGCGAAUCAGCAUGUCGCGGUGAAUACGUUCCCGGGCCUUGUACACACCGCCCGUCACACCAUGGGAGUUAAUAGCGCCCGAAGUCGGUGAGGCAACCGUAAGGAGCCAGCCGCCGAAGGUGAGAUCAAUGACUGGGGCGAAGUCGUAACAAGGUA